GAUGAACGCUGGCGGCGUGCCUAAUACAUGCAAGUCGAGCGAACAGACGAGGAGCUUGCUCCUCUGACGUUAGCGGCGGACGGGUGAGUAACACGUGGAUAACCUACCUAUAAGACUGGGAUAACUUCGGGAAACCGGAGCUAAUACCGGAUAAUAUAUUGAACCGCAUGGUUCAAUAGUGAAAGACGGUUUUGCUGUCACUUAUAGAUGGAUCCGCGCCGCAUUAGCUAGUUGGUAAGGUAACAGCUUACCAAGGCAACGAUGCGUAGCCGACCUGAGAGGGUGAUCGGCCACACAGGAACUGAGACACGGUCCAGACUCCUACGGGAGGCAGCAGUAGGGAAUCUUCCGCAAUGGGCGAAAGCCUGACGGAGCAACGCCGCGUGAGUGAUGAAGGUCUUCGGAUCGUAAAACUCUGUUAUUAGGGAAGAACAAAUGUGUAAGUAACUAUGCACGUCUUGACGGUACCUAAUCAGAAAGCCACGGCUAACUACGUG
rnacentral:rRNA from 1 species